AACGAACGCUGGCGGCGCGUAUUAAGCAUGCAAGUCGAACGGGAACCCGGGGGCAACCCUGGGGGAGAGUGGCGAACGGGUGAGUAACACGUAGGUGAUCUGUCCCCGGGUGGGGUAUAGCCCAUGGAAACAUGGGGUAAUACCGCAUGAGGUCCUGGAGCUUGAAGGCUUCUGGAUGAAAGUCGCAAUUGUGUUGCCUGGGGAUGAGCCUGCGGCUCAUUCGCUAGUUGGUGAGGUAAAGGCCCACCAAGGCGACGAGGGGUAGCCGGCCUGGGAGGGUGUACGGCCACACUGGGACUGAGACACGGCCCAGACUCCUACGGGAGGCAGCAGCUAAGAAUCUUCCGCAAUGGGGGAAACCCUGACGGAGCGACGCCGCGUGGACGAAGAAGGCCGCAAGGUUGUAAAGUCCUUUUGCAGACGAAGAAUAGGCUUAGGAGUGGAACGCCUGAGCGAUGACGUUAGUCUGCGAAUAAGCCCCGGCCAAUUACGUGCCAGCCGCCGCGGUAAAAC
rnacentral:rRNA from 1 species